GGGGCUAAGGCCGGGGAAUACUUUUCUUCGCCUGAAGAUGAGUUGAAAGAUGGUUUCUCCCUAUGACUUACAGAUGGGCCCGCGGCGCAGUAUCUACUUGGUGAGGAAACCGCUCUGCUCGGAAACGAUGCUCAGCCGACCUGGGAGGGAGAUCGGCCCCACAGUCCCUGAGACACGGCCCAGACUCCUACGGGAGGCAUGGGUAGGGAAUCUUCCGCAAUGGGCGAAAGGCUGACGGAACGCCUUCGCGUGAACGAUGAAGGUCUUCGGAUCGUAAAGUUCUGUUGUCAGGGAAGAACAAAUACCGUGCGAAUAGAGCGGUACCUUGACGGUACCUGACGAGGAAGCCCCGGCUAACUACGUGCCGUGAGCCGCGGUAAUACAUAUGGGGCAAGCGUUGUCCGGAAUUAUUGGGCGUAAAGCGCGCGCAGGCGGUUCCUUACUCCUGAUGUGAAAUGCCACGGCUCCUCCGUGGAGGGUCACUGGAAACUGGGGAACUAAUUUCCAGAAGAGGAGAGUGGAAUUCCACGUGUAGCGGUGAAAUGCGUAGAUAUGUGGAGGAACUGCACUGACACUGGCGACUCUGUGGUCUGUUUCUGACACUAAACUGCAUUAGCUACCGUAGCAGACAGGAUUAGAUACGCUGGUAGCCCACUGCUCAAACGAUGAGUGCUAGGU
rnacentral:rRNA from 1 species